UCCCCCAGUGCUCUGCCUGGCCCCUCUCACUGUCCCUCCACCCAGUGCCUUCUUCAGUUGCUCAACUUGGGAUCCCCGCUCAGUUGACCUUGCUCCCGUAGGCUGGAGCAGGCUGACCUCAUUCUGGCCAUGCUGGACGCCUCUGACCUGGCCUCUCCCUCCAGUUGCAACUUCCUGGCCACCGUCGUAGCCUCUGUGGGAACCCAGAGCCCCAGUGACAGCAGCCAGCGCCUCCUCCUGGUACUGAACAAGUCGGACCUGCUGUCCCCGGAGGGCCCAGGUCCCGGUCCUGACCUGCCCCCGCACCUGCUGCUGUCCUGUCUGACGGGAGAGGGGCUGGACGGCCUCCUGGAGGCGCUGAGGAAGGAGCUAGCUGCCGUGUGUGGGGACCCGUCCACAGAUCCCCCGCUGCUGACCCGAGCAAGGCACCAGCACCACCUCCAGGGUUGCCUGAAUGCCCUCGGCCACUACAAGCAGUCAAAAGACCUGGCCCUGGCGGCAGAGGCGCUGCGGGUGGCCCGGGGUCACCUGACCCGGCUCACAGGUGGAGGGGGUACUGAGGAGAUC
rnacentral:sRNA from 1 species